rnacentral:lncRNA from 1 species
CCGGUGGGAAGAGCCGGGUGGGGGCAGCGGGAAGUCUGCCUUCCCUGGCCACCAGGCUGCUGGGGGCAGAUUUCAGAAAAGGGAAGUGCUGAGCUGGGGCAGCGCUUCCUGUGGUCUCCAGCAGGCAGGGCAGCAGGGCGGGCACGGCAAAUCAGAGGGGCGGCCGCCCCACCCCAGGAGGGGGCGAGGCCCGGGCCUCGCCCUUCUUCCAGACCCUGCGUGUCCAGCCGCAUUGGCGGGAGCGGGGUGCUUUGGGCGACCGCGGGAGGGGUUCCUGUGGCACCCAGGUCUCCGGGCUCUGUUUGCUCAUCCCUCGGGGGCUGGCGGCUGGCCUGGCAUCUCUCGGCUGGAAAUGCUGAAGACUCCUCGGCUGAUCUGAGAAACGGCUCCAGCUGGACCCCCAACAAAGCUUCCCCUGGUCCUUGGAUGGAGCCUCCUGGGCAAGCACGGCUCUCAAGGCCAAGGUGCGCUGGAUCCUGCAUGAGUGCCCUGGAGCAGUCACUGUCUCCUUCGUGCCUCAGACAAAGCACUCAGAGGAUCUUUUGCUCUCCCCUUCUUCCUGCUUCCUCCAAGGCAUCCCAGUGCUCACAGGCAGCACAUCGGCCAGUGGUGCAUUCGCACACACAUGCACGCACACAGACGCGGUCCCACAAGGAGCUGAGCAAUGGAGGGGCUGGCCUGGCCUGGGGCGCGCGCAUGUGUGUGCAUAUUUGGUGAGUGUGUGCGUGGGAUCAUGUGGGAUGCUCGUGUGUGUGAGUGUGCAGGUCUCCGGAUGAGUGUGCGUCCGUGCGUGUCUGGGGGGGUACCACCUUUCUCCUCUCAGCCGCAUCCUGUACGCUGAGCAGAGCUGCUCCCCCAGGUGAAGCUGAGUCGUGUCCUGCCGAGACCUCUGCUUCCCUCACCUGCUGACUCCCAGGGUGGGCGCGGGGCACCGUCACUCACAGGGCCUGGGGCACGGGAGGCAGCCACGAGGGGGCCAUGGGGCAGUGUGCCAGGGAGGGUACACGGAGUAGUCCUCAAGCUGCCAGGAACUGCCCUGAUAUAGGUCCGUAAGAGGGGCAGCCUCUUGCAGGCCUGGGACCCCAUGAGCACCCUGGGCCUGGGAUGCGACGUAG